rnacentral:rRNA from 1 species
AGGCCGAAAGGCGUAGUCGAUGGGAAGCAGGUUAAUAUUCCUGCACGACUUGUAAUUGCGAUGGGGGGACGGAGAAGGCUAGGUGGGCCAGGCGACGGUUGUCCUGGUGAAAGUGCGUAGGUGGUGUUUCUAGGCAAAUCCGGAGACACAACACUGAGACACGAGACGAACGCACUACGGUGCGGAAGCCAUUGAUGCCCUGCUUCCAGGAAAAGCCUCUAAGCUUCAGAUUACAAGUCAUCGUACCCCAAACCGACAC